rnacentral:rRNA from 1 species
CCGGCCACGGAUAUCUCGGCUCUCGCAUCGAUGAAGAACGUGCGAAAUGCGAUACAUGGUGUGAAUUGCAGAAUCCCGUGAACCAUCGAGUCUUUGAACGCAAGUUGCGCCCGAGGGACCAUCCCGAGGGCACGC